CCUACGGGAGGCAGCAGUGGGGAAUAUUGCGCAAUGGCCUAACGGCUGACGCAGCGACGCCGCGUGUGGGAUGACGCCCUUCGGGGUGUAAACCACUGUUGCUCGAGACGAAUAGCGAACUUCAGUUCGCCUGACGGUAUCGAGUGAGGAAGCACCGGCUAACUCCGUGCCAGCAGCCGCGGUAAU
rnacentral:rRNA from 1 species